rnacentral:tRNA from 1 species
AGAAAGUUAGUCUAACCCAAGACAGUCGAUUUCGGCUCGGCAAAUUACAGGAAACACUGUAACUUUCUU